GGGCCCGCACAAGCGGUGGAGCAUGUGGUUUAAUUCGACGCAACGCGCAGAACCUUACCAGGGUUUGACAUCCUGUGCUCGCCGGAGAGAUCCGGUUUCCCCGCAAGGGGCGCAGAGACAGGUGCUGCAUGGCUGUCGUCAGCUCGUGUCGUGAGAUGUUGGGUUAAGUCCCGCAACGAGCGCAACCCUCGCCUUUAGUUGCCAUCAUUAAGUUGGGCACUCUAGAGGGACCGCCGGCGACAAGCCGGAGGAAGGUGGGGAUGACGUCAAGUCCUCAUGGCCCUUACACCCUGGGCUACACACGUGCUACAAUGGCGGUGACAGUGGGCAGCUACUCCGCGAGGAGAUGCUAAUCCCAAAAAACCGUCCCAGUUCAGAUUGCACUCUGCAACUCGGGUGCAUGAAGGUGGAAUCGCUAGUAAUCGCAGAACAGCAGGCUGCGGUGAAUACGUUCCCGGGCCUU
rnacentral:rRNA from 1 species